GUAAUUCUCGCCAAUUUUCCUCCUUCCCAUUUCUCUCAAUCUAAACCUAUCUCAUCAAACUUGGAAAUAAAAUGGCAUUUUCAUUCUCAUUUUCUCUCGAUCUAAACCUAGCUCCGCCAACACAUACAUGGGGGCAAACGGCUACACGAGUGUGGAAGCCUUAUUUUCGCUUCCACACGAGGACCAAUUACCGUAAACUACUCAUUACUCCUUGACAACAAUGUUGUCAUUGGAGUUGCAAUGAGUUUGGUGACUCCCAGGGAUGUGCGUACUGGGAACAUGGGAUGAUAACCGGGUGGUAAGUGAUGUCAUGACACUAAGCGUGCAAAGUGCGGCGUCAUUCCCAAGUGUUGGUCAUCGCUUCAUUGUGAAAUCCCAUGAGGUGCAAGUGCUAAGAGCUCAGUUGGUGGCAGAACGGAAUUUGGUUGAAGAUUGUGAGCGUACUAUAAGGAGAUUGAAAAGGGAAAGGGUAAAGAUGUUGGAAGAGAAGCGACACCAGCUUGAAAUAUUGCAGGAAGAGAAUCAAAAGCUAUUAAAGAUGGUAGAUUUUUACUCUAAGGACAUGAAGAGUAGCUAGAGGCCUUGGAUCGACCAGGUAAACGUGCGCAAUGAGAUCCAAGUUUUGCUAAAGCUAAGAAAGUGAUCUUUGGAAGUUCAAGUGAUGAGCCCCAAGAAGCGGUACGUGAAACUCGAUAGAGGAGAUCCAGAGGGCCAAACUAAAGUCUUCUAUUGUGGAAUCAUAAAGCGCAC
rnacentral:lncRNA from 1 species